UGUCUGUAACUCCAGUUCCUGGGGAUCCGAC
rnacentral:piRNA from 1 species